CCUUUUGGUUCACAGGCUGUCGCUUCAACCACAGAACCACACCGGCCAGGGCUAGCUGACCUAAUUUGAUAAUGUCAUUGUUAUUUAUGAUUUCAAAGAUGAAUUAGGAAAAAUAUUUUAUGCUCUCUAAAAUAUACAGACAUUCUUUUGGUUGUAUGAAAAAUUGGGUUGAUUUUGAAAAAUUCAUAGCACAAUCAUUCCUUUUUAAAAACUUUCUUCAAGGAGUUUUAUGCUGGAAAUAAUUUUUGCUACUAUCCACAAAAAGGAUAAAGAAAAUAAAAUAUAUAUGCAGUAGCAUUUUUGGUAUUUAAAAAUUAGGACUCAAAAUGAACUAUUAAAAGGGGGAGGUUAGAUUUCCAAAGGUAAAUAUAAAAAGAUAGUGUAAGCAAUAAAUAAGAAGAAUUAUUCAUUACAUUAACUGAAAUACUUAGUAACAAGAAGAUUUCAUCUUGAAAGUGUACGCAGUUGGAGAGCAUUAAAAUUAACUGAAGCCAUAAUUUCAUUUGCAUCCAAAAACCUGAGUAUGGAUGAAUGAGUCACUUGUAAUUAUAACAUAGUAUCCAAAACAGGAACUGAGAAUUUUUAAAAUCCAAGCAUUCUUAGAAUAAACACAUACCCAACUUGGAAUGGAAUGAAAAUCUAAGAGUUAUAUAACAGGAAUGUUAGACUUUGAACAUCCUUAUCAUCACUCUUUAGGUUUAUAUGCAUACUUCCCUUUUGGGUAGAUUUUACUGAUUCUCCUA